CGGAGAGUAGCUCAACAGGUAGAGCAGUAUUUGAAAAAUGUGUUAACAAAACACUAACAGCAAUUACUUUAUUUGCAAGGUGCAUACAUGUUGGCGGUUCAAGUCCGUCCUCUCCGA
rnacentral:tRNA from 1 species